rnacentral:rRNA from 1 species
AGCAACAAAUGCCCUGCUUCCAGGAAAAGCCUCUAAGCAUCAGGUAACAUCAAAUCGUACCCCAAACCGACACAGGUGGUCAGGUAGAGAAUACCAAGGCGCUUGAGAGAACUCGGGUGAAGGAACUAGGCAAAAUGGUGCCGUAACUUCGGGAGAAGGCACGCUGACACGUAGGUGAAGUGAUUUACUCAUGGAGCUGAAGUCAGUCGAAGAUACCAGCUGGCUGCAACUGUUUAUUAAAAACACAGCACUGUGCAAACACGAAAGUGGACGUAUACGGUGUGACGCCUGC